rnacentral:rRNA from 1 species
UACAGAGGGGGCAAGCGUUAUUCGGAAUUAUUGGGCGUAAAGGGCGCGUAGGCGGCCUUUCAAGUGACGGGUGAAAUCCCCCGGCUUAACCGGGGAACUGCCUGUCAGACUGGGAGGCUUGAGACCGGGAGAGGUGAGUGGAAUUCCCAGUGUAGCGGUGAAAUGCGUAGAUAUUGGGAGGAACACCAGUGGCGAAGGCGGCUCACUGGACCGGUACUGACGCUGAUGCGCGAAAGCGUGGGGAGCAAACAGG